UACGUAGGACCGAGCGUUGUCCGGAAUCACUGGGCGUAAAGCGCACGUAGGCGGCUUACUAAGUCAGGGGUGAAAUCCUGGAGCUCAACUCCAGAACUGCCUUUGAUACUGGUAGCUCGAGUCCGGGAGAGGUGAGUGGAACUGCGAGUGUAGAGGUGAAAUUCGUAGAUAUUCGCAAGAACACCAGUGGCGAAGGCGGCUCACUGGCCCGGUACUGACGCUGAGGUGCGAAAGCGUGGGGAGCAAACAGG
rnacentral:rRNA from 1 species